AUGCGCAAGGCUUGAAUGGCGUCGGGGUUGGAGGGUUGGAAGGUCGGGAAGUGAAGGACUCGCAGGCAUAUUUAACAACGCAAAGUUGCUAGGAGUUGGUACCAGCGUUUGGGAGGUAGAGGUGGCGCUCAUGCAUAUUUGAGACAACAUCUGGAUGGUUGGGGAGAACGGUGAUGCCACACUCAAUCAGAAACUAUGCUACUGCUGAAGAGGUAUAUUGAGCCCUGCCUGGUUAACCUCCAGUGAGGUUAUUAGAGAAUUGGGAGAGGCUCAAAUCAGCAUCCUGCACCUAGUUAUCAAACCAUUGUGAAGUCUUGAUUCCUGGAUGGCCAGAAAACUUGUCAUUGGUCAAGAGCAACAUUAAGAUCUGCCUGUUACUCAUACUGAUGCUUCCUGCCCAGCAAGUUCAUCAGAGGGCGAGGAUGAAUUACGGUUGCCAUGAAUGUCCUUGUGAGGCAGUUGGGAAGCCUUGGCUGGAUUGUGAAGGAUAUUUGAAAAGUAUUUUAGAGUCCACCAGAUCAUCCAUGUGAGUGACCAUGCAGCAAAAGAAGGAGGGUCCUCUCAGUGAUUAAGAUAAUCAGCAACUGCUGUGAUGAGAUGCUGCCUUUAAUGCUGCUGCAUGUGGUCAAACCUCCACUCCCAGUCUACCCAGACCAGGACUUGGCUUCCAGGAUCCAGGGGUGUCUGUGUGAAAUGAUCAGCCUGGGCCCCCAAGCAGGUCACUCCCAGCACAGAGAUGUCAUUGAUUGUACCACCGUCAUCAGGCUGUCUUCCGCCCUCAGGGAAAAGUAGCAUGUCUUCCAGCACCAUAUGACAACUGCUCAGCACUUAUUUCUUGUCAUUGCUCCCUUCUGACUGCAGCUCCGUGGGAUCACAGGAGAUUAUGGUGGUGGUGGACUCCCAGGCAUUGCUAUUCUCCUGACACCAGAACACCAUCAUGGUCAUCUCUGAGGCAUCAGUAGUGUUUCUAUAUGCCAACAGUGAACAAUCUGAAAAAGAUAUUAAAAAGUAAUCUCAUUUACAAUAGCCACACAUAAAAUUAAAUACCUAGGAAUUAACCAAAGAAGUUAAAUAUCUCUAUAAUGAAAACUAUAAAACACUGAUGAAUGAAAUUGAUGAGAUCACCAAAAAUGAAAAAAUAUUCCAUGUUCAUGGAUUGGAAGAAUCAAUAUUGUUAAAAUGUCCAUACUACCCAAAGCAAUCUACAGAUUCAGUGCAAUCCCUAUAAAAAUACCAAUGACAUUCUUCACAGAAAUAUGAUCCUAAAAUGUAUACAGAACCACAAAGACCCAGAAUAGCCAAAGCUAUCCUAAGCAAAAAGAACAAAA
ensembl:lncRNA FTX FTX transcript, XIST regulator